AAAAAACUAAAGGUCGAACAGACCUAAUCAUUAAGCGGCUACACCUAACAUUAAUUUUAAUCCAACAUCGAGGUCGCAAACCUUGCCAUAAAUAAGAACUCUCCGGCAAGAUUACG
rnacentral:rRNA from 1 species